rnacentral:other from 2 species
GGCGGGCUGCGCGGUGCGACAGGCGUAACAUUUCCUCGGGGCCUUAGUCAUUCCUAGGGAGCUGUCCCUGUCCGGGCUCGUGGGCCUGGAUACACGGCGCCCACCUACUUUGUAGGUUCCCGGGAUCGACUUCGACCAUCGGCCGGGUGGCUCGCCG